rnacentral:rRNA from 1 species
GUCUUCGAGUCGUUGAUUUCACACUGCCGAGAAAAGCCUCUAGAUAGAAAAUAGGUGCCCGUACCGCAAACCGACACAGGUAGUCAAGAUGAGAAUUCUAAGGUGAGCGAGCGAACUCUCGUUAAGGAACUCGGCAAAAUGACCCCGUAACUUCGGGAGAAGGGGUGCUCUUUAGGGUUAACGCCCAGAAGAGCCGCAGUGAAUAGGCCCAAGCGACUGUUUAUCAAAAACACAGGUCUCUGCUAAACCGUAAGGUGAUGUAUAGGGGCUGACGCCUGCCCGGUGCUGGAAGGUUAAGAGGAGUGGUUAGCUUCUGCGAAGCUACGAAUCGAAGCCCCAGUAAACGGCGGCCGUAACUAUAACGGUCCUAAGGUAGCGAAAUUCCUUGUCGGGUAAGUUCCGACCCGCACGAAAGGCGUAACGAUUUGGGCACUGUCUCAACGAGAGACUCGGUGAAAUCAUAGUACCUGUGAAGAUGCAGGUUACCCGCGACAGGACGGAAAGACCCCGUGGAGCUUUACUGUAGCCUGAUAUUGAAAUUCGGCACAGCUUGUACAGGAUAGGUAGGAGCCUUUGAAACGUGAGCGCUAGCUUACGUGGAGGCGCUGGUGGGAUACUACCCUAGCUGUGUUGGCUUUCUAACCCGCACCACUUAUCGUGGUGGGAGACAGUGUCAGGCGGGCAGUUUGACUGGGGCGGUCGCCUCCUAAAAGGUAACGGAGGCGCUCAAAGGUUCCCUCAGAAUGGUUGGAAAUCAUUCAUAGAGUGUAAAGGCAUAAGGGAGCUUGACUGCGAGACCUACAAGUCGAGCAGGGUCGAAAGACGGACUUAGUGAUCCGGUGGUUCCGCAUGGAAGGGCCAUCGCUCAACGGAUAAAAGCUACCCCGGGGAUAACAGGCUUAUCUCCCCCAAGAGUUCACAUCGACGGGGAGGUUUGGCACCUCGAUGUCGGCUCAUCGCAUCCUGGGGCUGUAGUCGGUCCCAAGGGUUGGGCUGUUCGCCCAUUAAAGCGGUACGCGAGCUGGGUUCAGAACGUCGUGAGACAGUUCGGUCCCUAUCCGUCGUGGGCGUAGGAAAUUUGAGAGGAGCUGUCCUUAGUACGAGAGGACCGGGAUGGACAUACCUCUGGUGUACCAGUUGUCGUGCCAACGGCAUAGCUGGGUAGCUAUGUGUGGACGGGAUAAGUGCUGAAAGCAUCUAAGCAUGAAGCCCCCCUCAAGAUGAGAUUUCCCAACUUCGGUUAUAAGAUCCCUCAAAGAUGAUGAGGUUAAUAGGUUCGAGGUGGAAGCAUGGUGACAU